rnacentral:rRNA from 1 species
GUGCCAGCAGCCGCGGUAAUACGUAGGGGGCCAGCGUUGUUCGGAUUUACUGGGCGUAAAGGGCGCGUAGGCGGCCAGUGCAAGUCAGUUGUGAAAUCUCCGGGCUUAACUCGGAAAGGUCAACUGAUACUGCUCGGCUAGAGUGCGGAAGGGGCAACUGGAAUUCUUGGUGUAGCGGUGAAAUGCGUAGAUAUCGAGAGGAACACCUGCGGCGAAGGCGGGUUGCUGGGCCGACACUGACGCUGAAACGCGAAAGCUAGGGGAGCGAACGGGAUUAGAUACCCCUGUAGUCC